GACGAACGCUGGCGGCGCGCUUUAUACAUGCAAGUCGAACGUGAAGCUCGGAGCUUGCUCCGGGUGGAAAGUGGCGAACGGGUGAGUAUCACGUGAGAAACCUGCCCCGAAGACCGGGAUAACACCGGGAAACCGGUGCUAAUACCGGAUGCCCUCACCGGAUCGCAUGGUCUGGUGAGGAAAUGGAUUCCGCUUCGGGAUGGUCUCGCGGCCUAUCAGCUUGUUGGUGGGGUAACGGCCCACCAAGGCUUCGACGGGUAGCUGGUCUGAGAGGAUGUCCAGCCACACUGGGACUGAGACACGGCCCAGACUCCUACGGGAGGCAGCAGUACGGGAAUCUUGCACAAUGGACGAAAGUCUGAUGCAGCGACGCCGCGUGUGGGAUGACUGCCCUCGGG
rnacentral:rRNA from 1 species